AGCACCGAUAGCGAACAAGUAGAGUGAUCGAAAGAUGAAAAGCACUUUGAAAAGAGGGUUAACACAGCACGUGAAAUUGUUAAAAGGGAAGCGCUUGUGACCAGACUUGCGUCCGGUGAAUCACCCAGCUCUCGCGGCUGGGGCACUUCGCCGGCACAGGCCAGCAUCAGCUUGCCGUCGGGGACAAAAGCUUCAGGAACGUGGCUCCUCUCGGGGAGUGUUAUAGCCUGUUGCAUAAUACCCUUCGGCGGGCUGAGGUACGCGCUCCGCAAGGAUGCUGGCGUAAUGGUCAUCAGCGACCCGUCUUGAAACACGGACCAAG
rnacentral:rRNA from 1 species